rnacentral:rRNA from 1 species
AUUGAACGCUGGCGGCAUGCCUUACACAUGCAAGUCGAACGGUAACGGGUCUUCGGAUGCUGACGAGUGGCGAACGGGUGAGUAAUACAUCGGAACGUGCCUAGUAGUGGGGGAUAACUACCCGAAAGAGUGGCUAAUACCGCAUGAGAUCUACGGAUGAAAGCAGGGGAUCGCAAGACCUUGUGCUACUGGAGCGGCCGCUGGCAGAUGAGGUAGUUGGUGGGAUAAAAGCUUACCAAGCCGACGAUCUGUAGCUGGUCUGAGAGGAAAAUCAGCCACACUGGACUGAGACACGGCCCACACUCCUACGGGAGGCAGCAGUGGGGAAUUUUGGACAAUGGGCGCAAGCCUGAUCCAGCAAUGCCGCGUGCAGGAUGAAGGCCUUCGGGUUGUAAACUGCUUUUGUACGGAACGAAAAGCCCCGGGUUAAUACCCUGGGGUCAUGACGGUACCGUAAGAAUAAGCACCGGCUAACUACGUGCCAGCCGCCGCCGUAA